CCGUCGAUAGCUCAGUUGGUAGAGCGGUGGACUGUAGAUUCAAUUCACGAAACUCGUGAAAGUUGUUACACAUUCAGAAGUUAUCCAUAGGUCGCUGGUUCAACUCCGGCUCGACGGA
rnacentral:tRNA from 1 species